CUAAUUUGAAGGGCCCUUUCAAAUCAUUACAUUCUCUGAAGCUUAGACCAGCCCCUGCUAUGGAAUUCCAUGCUUGAUUACUUCUUGAGGAUUGCAAAGAAAAUUUUGCAAUGAAUUGGAACUUGAAACAGUAUUCUGUUUGAAAGGAAAUCACAAAGACAAUUGGAUUUGAACAAUAUGCUCAAGUUGUAGCACCAAACUUGGUAGUUUUCAUUAUAUUAUUGAUGAAACUAUAAGCUCUUACAUAAAUCCCUGGGAAUCACAUCCCAGUCCCUCACUCUCUUAAGAGUUUAAUUACAUAGAUAUAUCUUUUCUUUUUUUUUUAAUUCAACUUUCCAUCUCUCAUCUAAUUAGCAUUUCAACUUGCCCCCAAGAGUUAAAUAAAUAAAGAACUCCCGAAUUAUCUUGAUGGGUAAGCAAAACCAUGUCUACAGCUGCAUGCCCACACAACAUCAAUUAAGUGCUAUAUAUCCAUAAUCCAGUGCCCACCUAAUAGUUGCAGAGAAAGAAAUUAAACGCAAUCACCACAUCUGUUGAACUGUGGUGGCCUUGGAGUGUGUCGAUUAUUUGCCCCUGAUCCAGGGUAAUCAUUUAGCUCCACAGCCAUCCUCCCACCAAGAUUCGUAUGCUCCUCCCAGCUUCUCUCCACAGCCACCUUCUGUAACAGAAAUGUUAAUCUUCAUAUCUAUACCAAUGUCUAAGGAUUAUAGAUAACAAGAAGUUCAAGAACAGUAUAUUAGUUAUUGAUUAGGUACCAUGUGGGUAGUCUCCGGAACUGGAAGAACUUGAUGAGGUCCAUGCAGUAACCUUCCAAGUCCUGAAAAUAUGAGAGAAAAGAAAGAAAUUGCAAGAAUUAGCAGGAGAAGAGAGAAGAAUAUAUCAAGAUCAGGUGGUAGUCAUCAUAGACAUACUUGUAAUUGGGAUAGCGUUCAAGCAGACAAGGUGAGAAAUCCCUAGAAAGAUUACAAGCAAGCGAAAGAGAGUAGUAGUGCCUGCCAUUGCAAAAGCAAGCUUAAAAUUUCCUCAAGGACGAAAACUUUCUUGGUAUGCUGCUAUUCAUAAAGCAAAACAAAUCAAUUUAUACAUUUACACUACAAAGCUAUAGAUUUUUCUGGAUGCUUGUGAUAUUGGAGAAAUUAAACAUCAGUGAUCAUAUAUAUUUUCCAGAAGUCAAAAAGGUGAUAGGAACAUAACAUUUUUGUUGGGGGGCAAAGGCUUUACCGUGUCUUGAGUGUUUCAACCAUAA
rnacentral:misc_RNA from 1 species